rnacentral:rRNA from 1 species
UGGCUCAGGACGAACGCUGGCGGCGUGCCUAACACAUGCAAGUCGAACGGAGUUGAGGAGCUUGCUCCUUAACUUAGUGGCGGACGGGUGAGUAACGCGUGAGUAACCUGCCUCUGAGAGGGGAAUAACGUUCUGAAAAGAACGCUAAUACCGCAUGACACAUAUUUGCCGCAUGACAGAUAUGUCAAAGAUUUUAUCGCUCAGAGAUGGACUCGCGUCCGAUUAGUUAGUUGGUGAGGUAACGGCUCACCAAGACCGCGAUCGGUAGCCGGACUGAGAGGUUGAACGGCCACAUUGGGACUGAGACACGGCCCAGACUCCUACGGGAGGCAGCAGUGGGGGAUAUUGCGCAAUGGGGGCAACCCUGACGCAGCAACGCCGCGUGAAGGAUGAAGGUUUUCGGAUUGUAAACUUCUUUUCUCAGGGACGAAAUUUGACGGUACCUGAGGAAUAAGCUCCGGCUAACUACGUGCCAGCAGCCGCGGUAAUACGUAGGGAGCAAGCGUUGUCCGGAUUUACUGGGUGUAAAGGGUGCGUAGGCGGCUUUGUAAGUCAGAUGUGAAAUCUAUGGGCUCAACCCAUAAACUGCAUUUGAAACUACAGAGCUUGAGUGAAGUAGAGGCAGGCGGAAUUCCCUGUGUAGCGGUGAAAUGCGUAGAGAUAGGGAGGAACACCA